rnacentral:lncRNA from 1 species
UGUCUCUGUCCCCACCCCCAAUGGAUGAUUAAAGUCAAAUCUUUUCGAUUGUUAAAAUGGCUAUUGUUGGCACUAGGACUUGGUCGUUUUGCUUGUAGAGAUUUGUUCUCUGACAUUUUUUUUCUUCUCUGUUUUUCUCUGCUUUUUAUCUGAAUGUCAAUCUGAAUGUCAAUGCCAGAAGAAAGCUUCUCUCGAUUUUAGAAAUAUUAGAGGCAGCCUAUUGGUGCCACCCGAGAUAGUAAUCCUGUCGCUGUUGUUUUUUUAAUCAGCAAUUGGGCAGAUGCAGCUCUGAUUGUGGAAACUGAAAUCCUCUUCAGCAUCAGUGAUGUCUAAGGACCCCGUAACCAAGUUGGCUGGCACAUUCCCCCAAAGCAAACUACCCCUUCCUAAUAAGAAUUCAGGAAAAGUUAUGUUCCCUUUGUCCUUGAGUAUGAAUGAAAGUGUGCCCAACACCUUCACUGAGCAGCUGGCACCCUUAUGUUACUCAACAAACUGUGACUUGGCAGUGAGGAACACGGUUCCAGAGGAGGAAGCAAAGCCAAGUCAAGAUUCUGAUGAUGACCAGCAAUCGAACAUUUUGGCCAACUCAGUCUUACUCUUUCCUUUAAUGACAUGCAGCAGAAAUCCAACUGGGUACCUUCAGGCCACAAAAGUAAGUGGCCCUUCAGAGACACUGCCUUCUGCUCCCCAAAUUCCAGGAGCACAGGAACAGGUGUUGAAGCAGCAAAUGGAGCAGCUACAAAGAUUGGUGGCAGAACAGCAGAGGAUUAUCACACUGUCCCACUCAGGUAGUAUCCUGGUGGCAGCUUAGUGAAUGGUGCUUCUGUCCUGUGACAGCCAAUGUGAUUUAUUUUGAAAGAAAAUCUGUUGAUUUUAGGUUAAAACUUUUUGUGAGCGUUUUAAAGGUGACGACUCCUUAUUGUGCUGCUAAUGUAGCUAUUGGAUGGUCAGGUAGUAAAGUGGAUAGAGUGCCAGAAAUGGAGUCAGGAAGAGUCAUCUUUCUGAGUUCAAAUCUGACCUCAGACACUGGCUAUGUGACCCUGGACAAGUCAUUUAAUCCUGUUUGCCUCAGUUUCCUCAUCUGUAAAAUGAGCUGGAGAAGGAAAUGGCAAACCACUCAAUUAUCUCUUCCAAGAAAAUCCCAAAUGGGGUUUCAACGAAUCGGACCAACUGAAAACGAUUGAACAAUAAAUGUAGCCACAUUCUGAACCA